UACGAAGGGGGCUAGCGUUGCUCGGAAUCACUGGGCGUAAAGCGCACGUAGGCGGCUUUCUAAGUCAGGGGUGAAAUCCUGGAGCUCAACUCCAGAACUGCCUUUGAUACUGGAGAGCUCGAGUCCGGAAGAGGUGAGUGGAACUGCGAGUGUAGAGGUGAAAUUCGUAGAUAUUCGGAAGAACACCAGUGGCGAAGGCGGCUCACUGGCCCGGUACUGACGCUGAGGUGCGAAAGCGUGGGGAGCAAACAGG
rnacentral:rRNA from 1 species